rnacentral:rRNA from 1 species
UACGAAGGGGCUAGCGUUGCUCGGAAUCACUGGGCGUAAAGGGCGCGUAGGCGGGUCAUUAAGUUUGUUGUUAAAUCCUCUGGCUUAACCAGAGACAAGCAAUAAAAACUGGUAAUCUAGAGCGUGAGAGAGAGAAGUGGAAUUCCCGGAGUAGCGGUAAAAUGCGUAGAUCUCGGGAGGAACACCAAUGGCGAAGGCUGCUUCUUGGCUCAUUGCUGACGCUGAGGCGCGAAAGCGUGGGGAGCAAACAGG